rnacentral:rRNA from 1 species
UGGGGAAUUUUGGACAAUGGGGGCAACCCUGAUCCAGCCAUGCCGCGUGCGGGAAGAAGGCCUUCGGGUUGUAAACCGCUUUUGUCAGGGAAGAAAAGACUCCUGUUAAUACCGGGGGUUCAUGACGGUACCUGAAGAAUAAGCACCGGCUAACUACGUG